rnacentral:rRNA from 1 species
AACCUCCGCAAUGUGAGAAAUCGCGACGGGGGGAUCCCAAGUGCCAUUCUUAACGGGAUGGCUUUUCAUUAGUGUAAAGAGCUUUUGGAAUAAGAGCUGGGCAAGACCGGUGCCAGCCGCCGCGGUAACACCGGCAGCUCUAGUGGUAGCUGUUUUUAUUGGGCCUAAAGCGUUCGUAGCCGGUUUGAUAAGUCACUGGUGAAAUCCUGUAGCUUAACUGUGGGAAUUGCUGGUGAUACUGUUGAACUUGAGGUCGGGAGAGGUUAGCGGUACUCCCAGGGUAGAGGUGAAAUUCUGUAAUCCUGGGAGGACCACCUGUGGCGAAGGCGGCUAACUGGAACGAACCUGACGGUGAGGGACGAAAGCUAGGGGCGCGAACCGGAUUAGAUACCCGGGUAGUCCUAGCCGUAAACGAUGCGGACUUGGUGUUGGGAUGGCUUUGAGCCGCUCCGGUGCCGAAGGGAAGCUGUUAAGUCCACCGCCUGGGAAGUACGGUCGCAAGACUGAAACUUAAAGGAAUU